rnacentral:piRNA from 1 species
UGUGAACCCCGGUAUCUAGAGUCUG